AGCAGUUGGACCUCACAGUGUGGAUUGUGCCUUCACCCUGGAAUGUUUAUGCCCUAUCGCCAUGGUGAUGGGAUUAGGGAUCUUCUGCCCUUGGUCCUAAGUGCCACUAUCUGUGCUGAGUUUUUCAAAGGUCAGAGCAGAUUGAACCAUUGUGGUUUCAUUUUCCCUGAUUUUGAUUUUUCUUAUGGGGAACCUGUGUGGCUGCAUUCAAGGUGACUCGAAGAAGCCUUCCAAAAAGCAUGUGAAAAGGAAGCCCUACUCUACUACCAAGGUGACUUCAGGGAGCACAUUCAAUGCCAGUGAAGAGAUCACUAUUCACCAUGCAAGGGAGUUCCAGCACCCUCUAUGCCUGGAAUUACCCACACCUGCAGAGAUCCCAAAUGCCAUCCCUCACAUAAGACAGCCUCAUGAUCUCAUAAUCCAGAGAAUACAAGAAGAUAUGCUGUGCACACCAACCAGUGUAGGAGACCUCAUGGCUCCCGGGUAAAGAAGAAGAGGUACCCACAAGAAGAUGACUUCCAUCAUACAGUCUUCAGCAACCUUGAAAGAUUGGACAAGCUUCAGCCCACUCUUGAAGCCUCUGAGGAGUCUCUAGUUCACAAGGACAGAGGAGAUGGAGAGAGGCCAGUCAACGCGAGGGUGGUGCAGGUGGCCCCUCUGAGGCUUGAAUCUA
ensembl:lncRNA FAM230H family with sequence similarity 230 member H